UCUGGAAUUGAGUGGUUUACAUCAACAUCAGAAAAAAGCGAAAGAAGAGAGAGGAAAGAAGAGAGGAAAGGAGAAGAUCUCGGUGACAAUAUAUCGGUUGCAAGUUGUCAAUAUUGUUGGCUGGAAUAUCUACAGAAGAAUAAUAGAGAUUCAAAUCGAUUCUGUGGGUUCUACAGUUUCAGAUCCGAGUAACUCACUGCAAGAACUUCAAGAUAUUCAUCAGGGAAUUGCAACUUUAAUCACUCUGUUGGAAGAAAAAAACAACCAGGUUUAAAACAGAAUAGCAACUAAAGUGUCAAAGCUGCAGAGUUUCAAAUAAAAGAUUUAAAACAAAACAGCAGUUAAAGUGUCAAAGCUUUAGAGUUUAAAAUCAAGGGUGACGUAAUUGUUUGACAAUAUCUCACUAUGUCAAAAAAUGCUUCAUACCAUACCCCUCAGACGACAGAAGACGUUUUUUCUGUUGUCUGAUUUUUUUGAACGUCUUCAGACAACAGAUUUAACUAUUUAUGUCGUCUAAAUGGUAUCAAAAUCAACACCAAUUCAACUUUUUCAAGUUUGUUAUAAUUUAGAGAAUUCAGACAACAGAUUCUGUUGUUUGAGUAAAGGGAAAAGUUUAUCGGGACAAAUUUUUUUUUUUGUUGAACGUACUAAAACUUAAUGUGAACUAUUUGCAAAAAAAAAAAAAAAAAUUUCAGAUGCCUAGCCUAUACCCGAGUUUUCUCAACACUUGGUCAAAAAAACAUAAAGUUUCUUUCUCAACCCUAACCACACGACAGCCGACCUCCUCUUCAUCACCCUCAUCCUCCGCCUCCGCUCCCAUCCUCCUUCUCCGGCUCUGACGCCGGAGCUCCGCGGAACUCCACACUCCCGAUCCAGCUUCUCUCUCUCCUUGGAACUUCCAACCCGUCUCGGCGUGAGGCAUCUCUGCCUCUCCGGUCUUUCAAGCCCCACCCAGCCCCCACUGCCGAGCUCCUUGCCCAGCAACCUGCAACUAGCAAACCCGUCUCCCGGUCUUCGGUCUCCAAUCUCCACCUCCAGCCCUCCAGACUCCCUAUCCAGCUUCUCUCCUUUCAACUCUGCAACUAGCAAACCCGUCUCCGGUCUCCGAUCUCCGCCUCUAGCCCUCCAGCCCUCCAGGGAGGAAAGAUUGAAAGAAUUAGGGGCGAUGGAGAAGGAGCUGGUGGAGGUGUUUGAGGAGGUGAUGAAGGCGGCGGAACCCACGAAAUCGUGUGACGGAGACGCCGAGGAAAGCAAUUCCUUGAGCCUUGGCCCGGUUGGGGAUUACAUUGUUUAUUUUCAUUUCAUGGAUACUCUCGGCUUGAAGAGUAAUUGCUUCUUUAUAAGUCAGAAAUGCUUACCUGCAUUUUCAAUUUUAGGCUCUUUAGUUGCAGAUUUCACUGUUUUGUUUUUGUGUUGAAACUGAGGACUUAGACUGGUCUGAUCAGGUUUUCAUGUUCUUUUUCUUUGCUUUUUUGUUUUCCUACUCUAAUUUUAGCUUUUGCAAUCUGUUUGGUGAAGCAUGCAAAUCACUUUUUUUUUAAAUUAAAAUUAUAUUUUCAAGGCUGUAUUAUUGUACUGAACUGUCUGGAGCUCUGGAUCACCAAACAGAUCUCACAAAAUCCAAGUUCCAAAGGCUAACUUUUGUAUUUUGAAACUUUUAGGUGGUGUGAAUAUUCAGUGAAGAAGCUCAUGUGUUCUAAGCGAGCUUUUAGGAUCUCACUUUUUUAUAUUUAAUUUGUGUUUAAGAUCCUUGUACCGGGUGGUGUUAUUGCACAUGCUCUGUGCUACAAAGUUGGUGACUUAUUUGCUUUCCCAGUCUAAUCCUUACAAUUUCUUCAAGGACUUUAAUUGUAGUCUCACUCACUUUUAGUGCUUUUCAAGUUAAUUCUGGCCAAAAAAGGAGUUUUGCAAGUCUUCUUCACUUCAAGUAAUUAGAAGAAAAGCAGCACUCUAAGAUGAGCAGAAGAAGUUAAAAGGAGAUCUUCUACACUCUGUUAGGGGGUUAAUUUUUUAUUGCCGCAGAUUCUGCUCUUGAAAAGGUACCUUUAGUUAUUUUCCAUUUCAUCAGUGUUAUAUGCUACUAUGAACAACCUCAAGCUAGGGGUGGAUGUGGUUAGUGCCCACAAUCUUUUGCCUAAAGAUGGGCAAGGUUCAUCCAAUGCAUUUGUGGAGCUGUACUUCGAUGGCCAGAGGUUCCGCAGCACUAUAAAAGAAAAGGACCUCAGCCCUGUUUGGAACGAGAGCUUCUACUUCAACAUCUCUGAUCCUUCAAACCUCCACUAUCUUAGUCUCGAGGCCUAUGUCUACAACGAUGUCAAAGCUACUCACUCCAGGUCCUUUCUUGGAAAGAUCAGCCUCACUGGAAAUUCAUUUGUCCCCUAUUCUGAUGCUGUUGUCUUGCAUUACCCUUUGGAAAAGCGUGGCAUCUUCUCACGUGUAAGAGGAGAGCUCGGCUUGAAGGUUUAUGUUACUGAUGACCCAACAAUUAAGUCCUCCAUGCCAUUGCCUGCUUCUGAAUCCCUUACUGAUCAGGAUCCAGGCCUUGCACAGACCCAAGGAGUUUCGACUCCUGGCAUGAGCUCAUUUCGGAGUGAGAAAUCUCAGGCAAGACACACCUUUCACCAUCUGCCAAAUCCAGGUCAACAGAGCCAACAUCAGCAUCAUGCUUCUGCUGCACCAGAUACUCAUUAUGUACCCAAGUAUGAAGCUGAUCAAAUGAAAUCUGAACCGCAGCCUGCAAAGCUGGUUCGCAUGUACUCUGCUUCAGCAUCACAACCUGUUGACUAUGCACUUAAAGAGACUAGCCCUUACCUUGGAAGUGGGAGAGUUGUUGGUGGACGUGUUAUUCACGGAGACAAGACUGCAAGCACCUAUGAUCUAGUUGAAAGGAUGUACUUUCUCUAUGUAAGGGUUGUUAAAGCUCGCGAGCUUCCUGCCAUGGAUGUUACUGGAAGUCUAGAUCCUUUUGUUGAAGCUAGAAUUGGAAACUACAAAGGGAUUACAAAACACUAUGAGAAGCAACAAAAUCCAGUAUGGAAUCAAGUUUUCGCUUUUUCAAAGGACCGCAUGCAAGCAUCUGUGUUAGAAGUUGUGGUUAAAGACAAGGACCUUCUUAAAGAUGACUUUGUGGGAAUUGUGAGGUUCGACAUCAAUGAGGUUCCAUUAAGAGUUCCACCUGACAGUCCUCUAGCUCCAGAGUGGUACCGACUUCAGGACAAAAAAGGUGAAAAGAUUGAGGGGGAGUUGAUGCUUGCAGUCUGGAUUGGCACUCAAGCAGAUGAGGCUUUUUCUGAUGCAUGGCACUCUGAUCUUGCUACACCUGUUGAUAGCUCACCAGCUGCAUCCGCAGUGAUUCGCUCAAAGGUGUAUCAUGCACCAAGGUUGUGGUAUGUACGUGUGAAUGUUAUAGAGGCACAAGACCUGUUUGCAUCAGAGAAGAAUCGUUUCCCAGAUGCAUAUGUCAAGGUACAGAUUGGAAACCAGGUUAUGAAGACAAGAACACUUCAGGCUCGGAAUCUAAACCCACUUUGGAAUGAAGACCUUUUAUUUGUGGCCAUCCAAAGCAUCUAAUCUGUUGUAUGUUGACCAGCCUAUUGGUAUGGGAUUCAGUUAUAGUUCUGACAGACGUGAUAUUUGCCACUCUGAAAUUUGACAGAUGGUGUGGUAACGACCUCUAUGACUUCUUACAGGUGUGUCAUUUAGCAAACUGAUUCUAAGACUUGUGGUUAUUUCGUCAUGCGUUAUAUGAAAGAAAUUGUGGAGGACAAGAACUUGGAGUUUGCUACCAAGUGGGAAAGGAAAUCAAAUCUUGCUUACACACAGAAGGAUAUUGAUGUGGUUCGAGCUGAAUUGUCAAAUCAUGUUAUGAAGUUCUAACUUUGGUUCUGUUUAAGGUAGAUGAGUAGCACCAGGAACUGCUUUUGUGCAUUUAUAUAUAACUGAUGGAAAGUGUUGAUGAACCUAAAUUAUGCAUGCAGUUGCUUUGCCUAGCUACUCUUUCUUUACCUUAUAGGUUUUUGACUUAGUGCAAUAUUAGGUAAAUGAUCGAGAUCGAUGAGAUGGUUUUUUGGUUCUCUUGAUCAUUAUGUAACUGUUGGCUAGGUUUAGAGUUGGAACUAUGGAUUGUAUUUUGGAUGAUGUUGAUGCAAUUAAUGAAACGUAGCCAUCAUUUUCAAUGCA